AACGGUCUAUACCUGCGGUACCUGCGGAAGGAUCAUUAGUGAACGCCCUCGCGGGCUUAUAACUAUUCCAAACCUCUGUGAACCGUGCCCUUCGGGGCUAUUUUACAAACAUGGUGUAAUGAACGUCAUAUAUCAUAACAAAACAAAACUUUUAACAACGGAUCUCU
rnacentral:misc_RNA from 1 species